AAGCUUGAAUCCUUUUGACCGAUGCCUAAUCGCAUUUUUCCCUUCGGGGACAGAAGUGACAGGUGGUGCAUGGUUGUCGUCAGCUCGUGUCGUGAGAUGUUGGGUUAAAUCCCGCAACGAGCGCAACCCUUGCCUUUAGUUGCCAGCAUUAAGUUGGGCACUCUAGAGGGACUGCCAGGGAUAACCUGGAGGAAGGUGGGGAUGACGUCAAAUCAUCAUGCCCCUUAUGCUUAGGGCUACACACGUGCUACAAUGGGUGGUACAGAGGGCAGCCAAGUCGUGAGGCCGAGCUAAUCCCUUAAAGCCAUUCUCAGUUCGGAUUGUAGGCUGAAACUCGCCUACAUGAAGCUGGAGUUACUAGUAAUCGCAGAUCAAAAUGCUGCGGUGAAUGCGUUCCCGGGUCUUGUACACACCG
rnacentral:rRNA from 1 species